GAAGUGAAAACGCGUGGGAAUUAGCAAAUGGUGCUAAUGGGCUUGGCAAAGCCCAAUUCCACAUUCAUCACUAAUCUCUGGGGGUUCACUAGUAAUAAUUGGUGUGUAAAGAGUAAUCUCCAUGGGCCCGGGCAUUUAAGCCCAAUCAACUCACCUCUGUUGACUUGGACAAGUCAACAGAGUCAAAAACAUUCACAUGCGCGCGCUCUCUAAAAUCUAGCUCACCGUCCUUCCACCGUGGGCCGCCGCACCGGCGGCCGUCGCCGGCGACGGUGUUGGCUUCUACCUAACCACCACCACCAAAUUAAACAUAAUGAUACGCUGGAUACGCCUAUGGCAAGGAAUUUGAGCAACGGUCAAUGGAUUGGUUGAAUUGAUCCUAACAAAGGAAGUACCCUAGCCUACUCAAAGUCCAAUUAAAUGGCGCUCACUGAAGAUCAAUUCCUAACACCAUGGGGGUUUCGUUACUCAACCUAAAUGCUACGUAUUGGUACAGUCAGAGCAAGAAAAUAAUAAUGAAUUGUAAAUGACAUACCAGAGAAGAUGAUCGGAGAAUUCGCCGAGUGAGAGUGAGGUGGCUUAGCUCAAACUGAAUUGAAGCUUCAAUGGCUUUUUUGAGAGAGAAUAAGAGAGCUUUGGUGAGGGUGAUGAGAGAGGUUGCAGAGAAAUUAUGCACAAAUUCGUAGGGUUCAAAAAGUGAUGAAAAUAAGAGUGAUCAAUUGUUUAAAUAGAGUUUAGGUUUGAAGGUGUUUAGGAUUGGAGUUAGGAUUGGAGUCUGUUAUGUUCCGACAAGGAGUUAGUUGCAUUCAACUCACUGAGUUCAUGGUGAAACUCAGUUAGUUAAAAUCAACUCAGUUAGUUGAGGUUAGUUAAUGUUGGCUAGUGAAUGAGUGAGAUGAAGUGAGAUUGGCUACUGCAAGUUAGGAUGAGAUUGAAGUUGUGUUGGAGUGGUUUUUUGAUGACCUAUUGUCCAAGUUACCAGUUGAGUUUAAAUGACAUUGGCUUGGCUUGGAAUGAUGAAGCAUGAAGUUUGCAUUUCCAGUGGGUAUGUACUGAUAUGCCUUAAAAAAAACAGGUCUGCACCAUUGCUUGUCCUUUUUGUCCUAUGGAUCAUGAACAUGAGGCUUAAUAGUUAUUGCUUCCAGGGAACAAGAUGUAUCUCCUAUCCACCAGCUGGAAUCUGAUGAGCGUGCUAUGUUGGAAAGUGUCAUCAUGCGGGUUACAUCACAAUUCUUGGUUGGCUCAAGGAAAGGCAAUGAUAUGCAGUAGGUUUGGUGUGAGAAUGCCAUGGUGAGGUCAAGAAAAAGCAAAGUGAUGUGGCUCUUGUGAGGCAUGUAGGACAAUCAUGAGCAUGGCAUCAUGAUUCUGUAGCAGGAUGACACCUGAGCGUUGCUUGUUCCAUGGCAACUUUGCAUUAUUCAUUCUGCUGUAGGAUUCACACAUGUUGGGUUCAGUGUGUAUGUUGAUCCUAUUAGUGGUCUGCUGCAAGCAGAUUUCCUCCUGACUUGGAUAGGUUUGGUUUUAGUUGCUACAACCUUCAUGAGACUUUCUCAUCAUUGUGAGUUCAAAGCCAAAUGCAUGUGUAUUGUUGUGUCCAAAUGGUUAUGUAGGUGCCAUAUUUGAUCAUGUGAUUAGGGUAUUUGGUUAUUGGUGAAUGUAAGACCAGUUUAGCAAGGUAAAAGUGGGCUGUCAAGGCAAGAGAUCCAAGUCAUGGUAUGGCGGUCAUGAAUAUGAAAAUAAGCUAAGUUACUUGGAAAUGAAGAAACAAGGGAAAAGACAACCAACAUGGCUAUUGGAUGAAGAAUUAAGGCAAAUUAGGUUAGAUUGGAUCUUAGGUAGUCACAAAAGGGUGAGUUGACUUUGGUCAAAGUUGACCAAAAAGUCAAAUGUUGACCAAAGUCAACACUUAGUCAAAGAUGUCAAAAUUUGUGUUUUUUUUUGUAAUGGACAUUUUAUGGAUGGUAAUGGAUGAAUUUAGGGCAUUAGGGAUUUGGGUUGACUUUGGUCAAAAGUUGACCAAAAAGUCAACUGUUGACCAAAGUCAACAUUUGGUCAAAAGUUGCCUAGACUUGUAAUUUUUUAUGUAAUGAACAAUGUGAUGGUUUAUAUAUGUAUAUUUGGAUGUUAAAUGGUUCUCAA